rnacentral:lncRNA from 1 species
GAGGCCAUAUGAUUCAUGUAGUUCCCUGAUGAACUCAUAAUGCUAGCUUUGCUGCUAAAGUGAUCACUAACCAUUUCACUACCUAUUUGUUGAGUCAGCCUCGGGGUGAUCUGGCACGAAAAUCUCCUCGGUACUGUAUUCUUUGUUGUCAAACUAACCUCCAUCUUCUCCGGGGCUGUCGCGUUAGGUCCAAAUCCAGCCGUGUUCAGUGGUAGCUGCUAGCCAAGCUGGUGGUGGGCAUUUAGCUCCAUGGCAGGUGGGGAAGCGCACAUUUUGCACUCUUGGCUACUGUUAACACAAAUCAAUACCCACAAGUCCCUCCCCAGCAGUCAGUCUUUACUGGAACGUAACCAUGGCAAAGCAAAGGGGACUCCAGUAAACGUAUCAUGUGUACUUUGCUGUAUGUGACCAUUACCUGACGUGACUGACCUCUAAAGCUGUGACCUUGUUCUCUGGUUCCAUUGAGCCCCAUUAGAAUCCAUCUACUGAAGCUCUGUGAACUGCUCAUUUUAGAAUACAUUUUCAGGGUUGUGCACCUCCAAAGUGUUUGCGAGCAGUGGGCCAUCACUAUCAGCUGCCUUGGGGAUUCAUUUUUAGCUCUGAUAAGCUAUAUGUGUCAGCGCUGGCCUUUUUACAGCUCGUUUGUGAAGGCAGCAUUGCCAGAAAUUGGCAUAGCCUCUAAUUUUUUGUUUGGAAAGGGGCCAAGGCCAUAAUGUGCUCAAUUCCCAGUCGGCACUUCAAAUGGUGUUGCAUAGCAACUAAUAAUCCUUUUUGUCCAAUCAAGCAGCUUUUUCUGCACUGUUUUCUAAUCGUUAUUUAUGCAAGGGAGAGCUUUACUCCUACAUUACUCCUUCUCAGGAGCAGCUGUCUGACAUGCAGUCUCAGCAGGUACGGUUCACACCUGGGGUUUCUUUAGUUAAAAUGUUGGCCAACAGUCAGCAUCAGGGGAGCAACUGGUUUUGCUAGAGUUUCCCAGUAAAUGGUUUUCCUGGGUAAGCUUGGAGUUGUCAGUGGAGCACUUUGGCACAUGCUUUCUGAUGUGUGUAUUUCAGGUUCAGAACAAUAUCUACCCUGUUUAGAUGCUAACAUCAAGCGGAAGGAACAAGAUGAUUGGAUGAUGAACCCGAGCCUCAACCAGCCCGCCCCUCACACAGUGCAAGCGGAGGGAACCUGCACUCAGCGGGACCUGCCACCCAAAACCACUGAAGUCUUCAAAAGUCAGAGAGAACAAACUGUGCUCCCCCACCACGCUGUUAUUGGAGCCAGACCCUUCUGCUCCCCUGAGUACAGCCCCGACUUCCACAAGUUAGGCUCAACAGUACCUUACAGCUCAUACAGACCUACAAAUAUCAGAGCAGACACCUUCACUCCUCUGCAGUCGUCUGCCAAGACACAGUGAGUUGAAAGCUACAGUAUUAAUCCGUACCGUAUUAUUCUGAACAAAGAACGUAUUACAUCUAACUCCAGAGAAUGGAGUUUCAGAGAACUGCUCUUUUCUCUUUUGAGGUAAAAACCGCCUUAAUGCUUGCACACACACACACACACUCAGGACUAAAGCGUGACUCAAUUCCAAACAAUCACACCAAACAACUGAAGAGCAGAACACGCAGGAAGAAUGGAGGAGAUGAGAAAACGUGAUGAACAUGUGAUGAACAUGUGAUGAACACGUGUAUUUCCUUCAUUGAUAGUGUGCCAUACUCAGAGAAGAAGAGGCUCCUGGACAAACAAGAGGAGAUCCAGGAGGUGAAGCAGCUGGAGGAGUGGAAGCCCGCUGUAGGCAUCGUCACAGCACUGCUGGAGGAGUUAGAGAACAGAGCCAGCUAACAAGUUACACAAACACAAUAGUGUUGAUUGUACAUACACUCUUUAUCUUCAUCUGAACCGUGUAAGAAAUACACACACUGCUGAUGGAUAUAAAAGUAAUUUCCACAUUCCAGAAUAUUUUUUCUUACCAUGCCUUUUUCUUUAUUAGAUUGUGUAACUAAGGUGGAGGCUGCUGUUCAAUCUUUUGCUGUUCUUGUUUUUGUUUCAACUUCAUCCUUUCUAUAAUGAAAGUGUUCCAGGUACGUUUAUGUAGGUGAGAAGGAAAGCAGCAUCCUCCUGGAUAAGUAAUAAAACAUGCCCAGCUGCCUUUGUCAGCGACUAAGAUGACUCAUCAUCAGGCCUUCAUAUGCUCCAUGUUCUCCUCAGUGUAACCAAGAAGCACUCUGAUCUAAUGUGUGUGUAACAUGGACUUACCUUUAAGAAAGUAUUUCAGGAGAAUCUUUGGAGGCCUUUUUCCUUUCCUUUCUUCAGUCUAAUCAUCCUGGCACUGUCUCUGAUGACACAUGGGCAAAUCUAAUUGAUUUAACUUAUUGAGAAGUAUAUAUAUGUCAGUUAAUAUCCUUUUUUCAAACAUUCCUCUUCAUAUAAUUUUUGAAGUAUGUAGAGUAUGUAUUUCAUUGUCAGUUUCAUUUAUUGUAAUAGUGCGAUUGUGGCUUAUCGAGUCUUCAAUAUAGAUAUGAAAAGUGACAUUAAGAAAUAAAAUACGACAUUAUGCAAAAUAACGUUAGGGAAAUAAAAAUCUCUACAAUUAAUAACAAAUGUAAAUAAGGAGGAUGAAAAAACAUUGCCCUAAGAUAAGGCUGAACUUUGAUGAUUCCUUAAAUCAUAUAUCAAUUUAUUGGUAAAUGUACAUAUAUUCUAUACAUUCAUGUAUCUACAGGCACUAGACUCACACACACUACAAUUGGAAAGUUUAAGGAGAACGGCAUUGAUCUGAAAGAGCUCAUCAUUAAUUUGAACAAGUCACUUGGAGCCAUUUCAAAGCAGUCACAGGUCCCAAGAUUAGCUGUACAAACAACUGUUGUGUCACUGCCACAAUCCACCUGCUGCUGAGAGAAACUGGUCAGGAUGGUCAAGAGUCAACCAAAAUACAAGUCUGCAAUAGAUGAGGUCCACAGUCAGGUGUGUUUUACAUCGACAUGAGCUGAGAGGCUGCCGUGCAAGAACCUAAUUGAGGUGAAUAUGGCCGAGAGACAUUUAACCAAAUAACAAAAUGACUUUGUAAAUUUUUAAACCAGCAGAUUUGGUCAGAGUUUUAGAAGACCCAGAAAAAAAUCAUUACUGAACCAGACUUGAAUGUUUUUAUGACAAAGUAGUUUGUGUUCCAGUCAUCAAUCACAGAAACAUGAGAGCUGUAGAAAUCACUUGAUGAUACUCAUGUUCUUUACAUGUGUAUGGAAACCUUUGACCACGACUGUAUCAUCGGCUACAUAAUGUUACUCUUAAAAGACUGCUUGUGUACUUGGACAAAAUAUCUAAUUCUACCCCGGCUGUAAUCAUUUUUCAAUAUCAUUACAUUUAACUCAUUACUUUGAAAGUCAAUAAGGUCAGCUCAAUACAAUUCAGGUCCCUCUUUAAUAAUAAUGACUAUGUGAUCCCAGUGAUAAUUACUGUACAGUACUGCCACCCUAAGUGCUGUGCUGGUUGUUUCUGUGAUCUGGACCGAUCAAUGUUGUGAUAAUGAUUUAAUCAAUAAGGCCCGAGGUCCUCAAGCCAACCAAAUAAAACAGAAUUACUGUUCCUAUCUUGAAUUCUGUGCUGCUGCGCGUGCUCUUACCUCCCUGGAGUCAGCAGUUCAGCUGUAUCAGCUGCUGCUAUGCUAAAAUGUUCCCUGGCUUUUUAAAUGCUAUACGAGCUGACAGAUAAAAGGUGUAAAACUUGAACGCUUCACAGUUUGUAUCAGUGAAUGCUGAGCUCCUGCAACGUAUCCAGUCUUUUCUUUGCUUCAAAAGUGCAGGAGUUUUUAAUAUCAGUUACAGUUAAAUACAGUCUGUUCCUCCCGUACAUGACAUUUACAGGAAAGGAAACUAGGGCAAACUUUGUUUUUUGACAUUUGAUAGAAAGUCCAGCAAGAUAAAGAAUCAUUCUAAAACACUGCGGUAAAAAGCUGAAAGUCCAAAAGUCAAACUUCCCACUAUAAAAGCUGCUUUGUGGUGCGUGAAGCCAAACAUGUCUGACUUUCCGAGUGGAGAAUCACCCAGAGAAUCUUCGGUAAUGUCCUCACACAGCACAUGCACCGGAGUCUUCCACCAGCCAGCAGUUCAGCAGGCACUGUGUUCCAGCCAUAUGGCUUUGUCUGUGUCAGCUGCAAAACUAAUGAACACAACAACACUUUUCCCAUGCCAUUCUGAAGUACAUGGUGAUAUGCCUCUCUCUCAGUCUCUCCUGCUGUGACUGCAGCCUCUGGGCUGGAGCUGGUGUCUUCAGAUGUGCCCAACCUUCACCAGGUGGUUCAAUACUUCACUGCAUCUGCGGCUCUUCUCCUCCCUUCGAUUCUACAGUCAACAGGAGGCUCGUUCUGCUGCCUCCCUAAGCCUGCCUGCUGCUGACUCAGUCUCCUUUCAGAGUGCAUUCAAGUCAUGUUCUGAUGGAUUUGUUUUUGAUCUGGUUUAACCAAUUAUCUUUAGCACAGCAAAGGGGUAGUUGCACCUACUAAUGGUGUGAGGCCGACCAACGAGUGCGAGCCAUUCGGGGGCAGAGUUGGGAAGGUCUUGCCAAGAAACAUGAUCUCGGUGUGGUAGCCCUGCAACUCGGCUCAAAUGGAAGCAAGUUUAUUAAAGAUUCAGCCCAACUUGGCCCAUUGUCCCUUUCUUUCCGCAGAGCUUGUACAGUGGACCGUAAAGUAACAGAUGGAGAUAAGGUAUAUCAGUUGUACUUCAUAAAAGACCAGGAGAUGUUAAGUUUUGCCAAUUUAAUAGAAUUGGCUUAUUAUAAUUUAUACAGAAAAAGCAAUGAGUAUAUAAAAUAAGAAGUGUAUCAGCCAUAAGUAAUACAGAACUGUAUCAGAUGCAUUUUAUUGGCCUGAAUGUAUGAAACAGCACCAUCCCACAUUAAAACUAGAUCGCUCCUGAGUUCUAUCUGGGUCCAUGUAUCUAGUACCACUAUUUGACGAGUACUGUAAAACAGAAGAAGGGUUUGUGAUUUUAUUGUUCAAAUUCUAAAACUGUGCAUUAAACUUGUGCAACGAUAGGCUGCUUGGUCUGAAACAU